AUUGAACGCUGGCGGCAUGCCUUACACAUGCAAGUCGAACGGCAGCACGGGAGCAAUCCUGGUGUCGAGUGGCGAACGGGUGAGUAAUAUAUCGGAACGUGCCCAGUCGUGGGGGAUAACGUAGCGAAAGCUACGCUAAUACCGCAUACGAUCUAUGGAUGAAAGCGGGUGAUCGCAAGACCUCGCGCGAUUGGAGCGGCCGAUAUCAGACUAGGUAGUUGGGGAGGUAAAGGCUCACCAAGCCGACGAUCUGUAGCUGGUCUGAGCAGACGACCAGCCACACUGGGACUGAGAAACGGCCCAGACUCCUACGGGAGGCAGCAGUGGGGAAUUUUGGACAAUGGGCGCAAGCCUGAUCCAGCAAUGCCGCGUGCAGGAUGAAGGCCUUCGGGUUGUAAACUGCUUUUGUACGGAACGAAACGGCGAGCUCUAAUACAGUUUGCUAACGACGGUACCGUAAGAAUAAGCACCGGCUAACUACGUGCCAGCCGCCGCGGUAA
rnacentral:rRNA from 1 species